UGAGGAAUAUUGGUCAAUGGGCGCAGGCCUGAACCAGCCAAGUCGCGUGAGGGAAGACUGCCCUAUGGGUUGUAAACCUCUUUUGUCAGGGAGCAAGGUGCAGGCCGGGACCUGCUGUGAGAGUACCUGAAGAAAAAGCAUCGGCUAACUCCGUGCCAGCAGCCGCGGUAAUACGGAGGAUGCGAGCGUUAUCCGGAUUUAUUGGGUUUAAAGGGUGCGUAGGCGGAAUGCCAAGUCAGCGGUAAAAUCGCGGGGCUCAACCUCGCUCCGCCGUUGAAACUGGCGUUCUUGAGUGGGAGAGAAGUAUGCGGAAUGCGCGGUGUAGCGGUGAAAUGCAUAGAUAUCACGCAGAACUCCGAUUGCGAAGGCAGCAUACCGGCGUCCUACUGACGCUGAGGCACGAAAGCGUGGGUAUCGAACAGG
rnacentral:rRNA from 1 species